UCAUCUUCUUCCGCUCAUCCCCUUUUCCCAAAUCUACCCAACUGUCCCAAAACAGAAGAUUAGAGACUAGACAAUAACUAAUAAUUGAUAUUGUUGCUGAGGUUUUUAGAAUUGGCUGGAAAUGCAGCGAGAGACAACAAGAAGACCAGGAUAAUACCGAGGCAUGUUUGUUAGCUGUAAGGAACGAUGAAUAGCUUGGAAAACUUCUAGGUGGUGUAACCAUUGCUCAUGGAGGUGUUCUUCCUAACAUCAAUCCAGUUCUUCUGCAACUAGCCGAGAUGAUGAACUGAAAAUUAGGGUUUGGGUAUUGGGCUUAAAUUAGAAACUUCAUUGAGGGUAUAUAUGGAAUUCCACAUAUAAUUACCGUUUAUUACUGUUUGGGAUGUGUAGAUAACGUGCUUCUCCGAAAAUGCAUUACACGCGAGGUGAGCUGGCUGUAUUAGGUGUUUGCUUGAUCUACUUAAUAACCACUAAUAUGAAAAAGGGUUCAGUUGAGGUGUUUAUUUGAUCGUUGAGGACAACUUGAAGGGGUUGUUUAUAUAUUUAUUAGGCUCUC